rnacentral:rRNA from 1 species
UACGUAGGGUGCGAGCGUUGUCCGGAAUUAUUGGGCGUAAAGAGCUCGUAGGCGGUCUGUCGCGUCGGUCGUGAAAACUUGGGGCUUAACCCUGAGCUUGCGGUCGAUACGGGCAUGACUGGAGUUCGGCGAGGGGAGACUGGAAUUCCUGGUGAUAGCGGUGAAAUGCGCAGAUAUCGAGGAGGAACACCGGUGGCGAAGGCGGGUCUCUGGGCCGAAUACGUGACGCUGGAGGAGCGAAAGCGUGGGGA